CAAAAACACAAAAUGGAAGAACCGAGAAUUACUUCCUCUCAUCCUCUCGGUUGUUCUCUCUUUCUCUCCGAUGCUCUCUGUUCUCUCUUGCUCGCAAACAACAAACAAUAACAGGUUCUCGAUUUUCCUCUUCUCACAGUGAACAACAACGACGGCUCAGCUCUCUCUCGGUUGCUCUCCGCUCACAACAACAACGAAGCCCUCAAACAUCUCGCGGUUCUCUCUCUCGUUUUCUCUCUCGGCUAAACAACAAGGGAGCUCAUGUUUCACUUACUCAGUGAACAACAACAGCAGCGAUAACUUGUGUGUCAACCGAGUUUCACUUACUCAGUGAACAACAACAACGAUGAUGAACAAAAACAACAUAUUUUGCAGUAACAAUUAGUAGUAAUACCGAGUGUGAGAGCAGAAACGACUUACCUGCGGCGAGGAGACGUUCGCCGGAUUAUUGUUGAAGGCUUUUGAUGAAGGUGAUGCCAUAACACCUCUUUGGAUUGUGGGAGAACUUGAAGAUGGAACUUCAAGUUGUUGAAAGCUUGAAGAUGAAGAACUUCAAGUAAGGUAUGAAGAACCACUACCUUUUCACUCUUUCUCUCUUUUUUUUGUAGAAUAACACUUAGAAGUAUGAGAAUUCUAUGUGUUACUCUUGCCCUCUUUUUUUUCGUUUUUCUUUAUUUGUGUGUCUCUCCUCUAUUUAUAGAGGAAAAAGUGAGGGAUAAUUUUGGUCAUUUUUGCACCCAAGCUUAGUCCUUAAGCUCACUUAGUUACUAAGUUUUCAUCAUUGCAAAGAAUAUUCUUUCCAAAAUAAUCAUUGCCAAAGUUCCUUAGUUGUUAAACUUUCUUAAUGGCCAAGUAUCACAAUUUGUGCACAUGGAGGAAUAUGCACAUGGGAUGGAAAUAUCUUCAUAACUCUUGCAAGAAAGUUCCACGACAUAGCAUUGUUUUAUGUCAUACAUUGUAACUUCCAUGUGGUAGUUAUGACAUAAUAUAUAUAUAUAUAUAUUUCUUUGACUUUUUGACUUUUUGACAUCUUUGACUUGAUUUGGGCUUUUGGGCCCUUCUUGAAUUAUUUUGUUGGACUUUUGCUAAUUCUACCUCUUUUAUGUUUCUCUUUUUUUUUCAUGUCACAUGAGGACUCUUGAAGAAAACAUGAAGAAGGAGACUUGGAUGAAGAAUGGAAACUUGAAGAUUGAAGAAUUCAAGAAAGCAUUGGAUUUUCGCUUGUUGUAAUUCCAAUUCAUUCCACCUUAGAAUUGUAUGAAUUUGGACAUUGUAUUCUUGAGAAUCAAUGGAACUUUGAAUGUUGUAACAUCUUGAAUUUUGAAUGAAGUCCACCUUGUAAUUCA